rnacentral:rRNA from 1 species
AACGCGAAGAACCUUACCAAGGCUUGACAUGUACAGGAAAGUUCCAGAAAUGGUUCCCCCGCAAGGUCUGUACACAGGUGGUGCAUGGUUGUCGUCAGCUCGUGUCGUGAGAUGUUGGGUUAAGUCCCGCAACGAGCGCAACCCUCGUCGUAUGUUGCCAGCACGUAAUGGUGGGAACUCAUACGAGACUGCCGGGGUCAACUCGGAGGAAGGUGGGGAUGACGUCAAAUCAUCAUGCCCCUUAUGUCUUGGGCUUCACGCAUGCUACAAUGGCUGGUACAACGGGCUGCAAUACCGCAAGGUGGAGCGAAUCCCGAAAAGCCAGUCUCAGUUCGGAUUGGGGUCUGCAACUCGACCCCAUGAAGUCGGAGUCGCUAGUAAUCGCAGAUCAGCAACGCUGCGGUGAAUACGUUCCCGGGCCUUGUACACAC